CGGGGUGUGGCGCAGUUGGCUAGCGCGUGCGGUUUGGGACCGCAAGGUCGAAGGUUCGAGUCCUUUCACCCCGACCA
rnacentral:tRNA from 1 species